rnacentral:lncRNA from 1 species
UUAAAAUAUACGAGAAAAUACUAAUAUUUCUCUUAUUAAAAGCUUGAAGAGUUCCUACGUUCUUUUUCUUUUCUUUCCUUCUUUCUUUAAGUCUCUCUCUCUCUCUCUAGGAAACUCUUAAGGAAGUAAAGUGAAGAGGAAGUGUGAAGAAAUGAUGGGGAGAGGGUCCCUAUUUAUAGACAAAAUGGGCCGUCAAAUUUUCGCCAAGAGGUGCGAAUCCAUGAAAAGAGAGGGAGGAAAAGUUGACC